AAUAGACUGAGUGAUUUAUUUCAGAACUCUGAUGUUUUAUCACAAACAGAUUUUGAUUGAAGCACUCCCCAUCUUAUGGCUGUUUAGAAGAAUUCACUGGUAGGUCUCCUUCAUUAAGCCACUGAAGGUCACAGAAAAGCCUGUAAGUGCUCAAUGCCUUUGAGAUUUCUGCCUAUCUGCCACGUUUGGUUUAAGCUGGCUGAGUGGCUUAAGGCACCUGGAGCAUGUCAGGAAGGCACGGUAGAGAGCUCCUCCCAUCCUCCUGGGUGCAAAAGCUCAAGGUACACACCAGUGCAGCCUGCACAGUGCUGAUUGUGAGUGUGUGUGCCACAAGAGCUAAGGCAGAGCUUCUCCAUCUCAAAUUGCCCAGGCCAAGUCACUCCUAAGCACCAUUUCUGCACCGUGGCUGGGGUCAUUCUGCCAAGCCUUGCAGUCCUGCCUCUGUCUUUCUCAGAUGAUGGUCUGCUUGGUUUCAUGGAGCUGCAUGUUUUGACCUGCCAACCCCAAGUAAUUUGUAGAAUAGCCAAUUUCUGCCGCAGUUUUGCAGGAGUGACUCACUGCUGAAUGUAUUUCCUCCUUUUCCAGUGGAACUGUGUACUAGAAACACAGUCUGUGCACCCAACUGGGGAGCAGGGAAGAAAAGGAGUGGGUCUGGGUAAUACAGCAGGGAAGAUCAUACUUCGUUGCAGUUCCCAUCCUUCUGAGUGCAAUCCAUUUUUUGCCUAAGGCAAGUAUACAUCCUGUGGACUUUGAGGGAAGUUGAGGAUCAAAAAGUUUGAUAUAGCUGACAGAAUGUUAAUAUUUCAGGAGACAGCCACUACAUUCAUCCUCUUGCCACUGCAGAAAUAAAACCCCUCUUCCCUAAGUGAUUUUCAAGUGGGAAGCUGACAGUAGUUAAUGCUUUUGACAGAAAAAGUAGACUCCCUUGUUUAAACAGACUGUCUGCACACGCACAGUCUUCCCCACACAUAGGGUGGAGAAAGAGAAGUGGUCUUUGAACAAAAUCACACACUUUAUUUUUAAUCAAGAGAGCAUUUUUUAUAUUAGAGAAUUUUCUUGGCCUGUGGACCUGAAAUUUCCAUGUGAAGGUCCAGUAUUCACUGACACUUGAUCUAAUUCACCUGAACUGCCUCACAAGGACUGGCUGUGUGAGCAGCAGUGUGCUUUGGUGCACUGACACUGUUAUCCAGUUCAUCUGGUGAGGGAAAAGGGGAGAUAGGUGUACUGCUUCACCUGCACCCGUGUAUUCUGAGGCCCCUUCGGAUGCUCAAAGAGAGCACAUGGUGCUGUCAUAGAAUCACAGAGUCGUCGUGGUCAGAAGAGAUCACUAAGAUCAUCAUGUCCAAUUGUCAGCCCAUCACCACCACUAACCAUGGCCCUCAGUUCCACGUCUCCACAUCUGUUGAAAGUGCAUGAAGUUUUCCAGCCGUAGAAGCCCUCCUUCUGUCUUUUUCUCUGUAAUCUCUAAUUGCAGUGGUUGCAUUACCAGCGCAAGUCUGAGUUGAGCUGAGCGUUUUGCUAUUUCCUGGAUGUGAUGAGCACCGGCAAUGGUGCAUGUCAACAGUGCUUUCAGCUUCACGUGCAGCUGUUUCAUCACCCAGCCGGGCUGUGGUUCGAGGAGGGGCUCAGCCUGCAGAACUGGCACUGAGGUCCUCAGCCCUUGAAAUGCUAGGAGAAAGGUGUCAUAGCAAAAGACUUCGGGCCUGCUGCCUUUUGAGCCGAUGCACUCUCAUCAGCGGAGAAGGUGAAGUGGAGAAUACGCGGAAUACUUCAUAGUGGGAUCGUGGGAGACUCUUGUGUAUAGUUGAUUCAUUUUGGAAAGCAAAACUGACGGACCUUUGUGCAUCCACGAUUGAUGUGGGGGUGAUGUGUGUUCAUAAAGGGAGACAAGGCCUGCUAGGGGAACAGUGCCUCUAAGUCUGCUGUGGCAGCAUCUAGUAGUAAUAGAACCUCGCCGUGCCUGGCCGUCAUGUUCUUACCUCAUUUUCCCACUCCGAUGUACCCAUGAAACCCGAUCUUGGUGCCUUUUUUUCCCACCCGAGAGACCAGACCACGAUUUUCUUAAUUUUAGGAAAGAAAAAGGCAUCUCCUAGAGGUGAUGUGUGUUGUACAGAUUAACGUUAAGCCUUUCGCUUUGUUGUUGUUGUUGUUUUAAUUAUCAUGCUUUACAUUUAUUGUCGUUGACCAGAAUCAGUGAUCUCUGUAUUCAGGUUUUCAUUAAAAGAAGCACCC
ensembl:lncRNA